UGGGGAAUCUUGGACAAUGGGCGCAAGCCUGAUCCAGCAACGCCGCGUGCGGGAAGAAGGCCCUAGGGUUGUAAACCGCUUUCAGCAGGGAAGAAAAUGACGGUACCUGCAGAAGAAGGUGCGGCCAACUACGUGCCAGCAGCCGCGGUGACACGUAGGCACCAAGCGUUGUCCGGAUUUAUUGGGCGUAAAGAGCUCGUAGGCGGUUCAGUAAGUCGGGUGUGAAAACUCUGGGCUCAACCCAGAGAGGCCACCCGAUACUGCUGUGACUUGAGUACGGUAGGGGAGCGGGGGAAUUCCUGGUGUAGCGGUGAAAUGCGCAGAUGAUCAGGAGGAACACCAGUGGCGAAGGCGCCGCUCUGGGCCGUAACUGACGCUGAGGAGCGAAAGCAUGGGUAGCAAAGCAGGAUUAGAUACCCUGGUAGUCCAUGCCGUAAACGUUGGGCACUAGGUGUGGGUCUCAACCAACGAGAUCCGCGCCGUCGCUAACGCAUUAAGUGCCCCGCCUGGGGAGUACGGUCGCAAGACUAAAACUCAAAUGAAUU
rnacentral:rRNA from 1 species